rnacentral:rRNA from 1 species
CGAAUGCUGACAUAAGUAACGAUAAAGCGGGUGAAAAGCCCGCUCGCCGGAAGACCAAGGGUUCCUGUCCAACGUUAAUCGGGGCAGGGUGAGUCGACCCCUAAGGCGAGGCCGAAAGGCGUAGUCGAUGGGAAACAGGUUAAUAUUCCUGUACUUGGUGUUACUGCGAAGGGGGGACGGAGAAGGCUAUGUUGGCCGGGCGACGGUUGUCCCGGUUUAAGCGUGUAGGCUGGUUUUCCAGGCAAAUCCGGAAAAUCAAGGCUGAGGCGUGAUGACGAGGCACUACGGUGCUGAAGCAACAAAUGCCCUGCU